rnacentral:pre_miRNA from 1 species
UUAACUCAUAUUUGUAUGGAGUUCGAACGUUUGUCUGCGUUUGCCGCUAGGGGCGCUGUUCCAACUGCAUACAAACUUGAGUGA